UGCAGUCGAGCGAGUCUGCCUUGAAGAUCGGAGUGCUUGCACUCUGUGAAACAAGAUACAGGCUAGCGGCGGACGGGUGAGUAACACGUGGGUAACCUGCCCAAGAGAUCGGGAUAACACCUGGAAACAGAUGCUAAUACCGGAUAACAACAGAUGAUGCCUAUCAACUGUUUAAAAGAUGGUUCUGCUAUCACUCUUGGAUGGACCUGCGGUGCAUUAGCUAGUUGGUAGGGUAACGGCCUACCAAGGCGAUGAUGCAUAGCCGAGUUGAGAGACUGAUCGGCCACAUUGGGACUGAGACACGGCCCAAACUCCUACGGGAGGCAGCAGUAGGGAAUCUUCCACAAUGGACGCAAGUCUGAUGGAGCAACGCCGCGUGAGUGAAGAAGGGUUUCGGCUCGUAAAGCUCUGUUGUUGGUGAAGAAGGACAGGGGUAGUAACUGACCUUUGUUUGACGGUAAUCAAUUAGAAAGUCACGGCUAACUACGUGCCAGCAGCCGCGGUAAUACGUAGGUGGCAAGCGUUGUCCGGAUUUAUUGGGCGUAAAGCGAGUGCAGGCGGCUCGAUAAGUCUGAUGUGAAAGCCUUCGGCUCAACCGGAGAAUUGCAUCAGAAACUGUCGAGCUUGAGUACAGAAGAGGAGAGUGGAACUCCAUGUGUAGCGGUGAAAUGCGUAGAUAUAUGGAAGAACACCGGUGGCGAAGGCGGCUCUCUGGUCUGUUACUGACGCUGAGGCUCGAAAGCAUGGGUAGCGAACAGGAUUAGAUACCCUGGUAGUCCAUGCCGUANACGAUGAGUGCUAAGUGUUGGGAGGUUUCCGCCUCUCAGUGCUGCAGCUAACGCAUUAAGCACUCCGCCUGGGGAGUACGACCCGCAGGUUGAAACUCAAAGGAAUUGACGGGGGCCCGCACAAGCGGUGG
rnacentral:rRNA from 1 species